GGCGCGGUAGCAAAGCGGUUAUGCCCCGGAUUGCAAAUCCGGUUAGCGCGGUUCGACUCCGCGCCGCGCCUCCA
rnacentral:tRNA from 3 species